CAGGCUUUAGUUCAUUAUCAUCAUGGCAACACGGAUGGUGCUGGAGCAGUAGCUGAGAGUUAUAUCCUCAUCCACGGGACCAGAGAGACACUAGUCCUGGAAUGGAAUUUGGAAGCCUCAAAGUCUACCCCAACAUGGCCACACCUCCUAAUCCUUCUAAUCCUAUGGAAGACUUCCACUACCUGGAUAUUUUUGACCCUAGAUACUUUUUUCCUUUAAAUUUGAUGGAGCUGUGAUCAUGCCUCUGACCUCUAGCCUUGAAAGAAGACGAGUUAUGCCUCUCAGGAGUGAUGCCUCAGGCACUUUGCAAGUCUGCUGGCAGGAUUAUUUCCCAGGCUGUGAAGUGAUGACCUUCUACCGAGAGUGA
rnacentral:lncRNA from 1 species